rnacentral:rRNA from 1 species
AUUGAACGCUGGCGGCAGGCUUAACACAUGCAAGUCGAGCGGGGUGAUGGUGCUUGCACUAUCACUUAGCGGCGGACGGGUGAGUAAUGCUUAGGAUUCUGCCUAUUAGUGGGGGACAACAUCUCGAAAGGGAUGCUAAUACCGCAUACGUCCUACGGGAGAAAGCAGGGGAUCACUUGUGACCUUGCGCUAAUAGAUGAGCCUAAGUCGGAUUAGCUAGUUGGUGGGGUAAAGGCCUACCAAGGCGACGAUCUGUAGCGGGUCUGAGAGGAUGAUCCGCCACACUGGGACUGAGACACGGCCCAGACUCCUACGGGAGGCAGCAGUGGGGAAUAUUGGACAAUGGGGGGAACCCUGAUCCAGCCAUGCCGCGUGUGUGAAGAAGGCCUUAUGGUUGUAAAGCACUUUAAGCGGGGAGGAGGCUCUUUUGGUUAAUACCCAAGAUGAGUGGACGUUACUCGCAGAAUAAGCACCGGCUAACUCUGUGCCAGCCGCCGCGGUAA